CGAAGCGUGCGAUUGGAUUGCACGUCUAAGCAGUAAGGCUGAGUAUUAGGCAAAUCCGGUACUCGUUAAGGCUGAGCUGUGAUGGGGAGAAGACAUUGUGUCUUCGAGUCGUUGAUUUCACACUGCCGAGAAAAGCCUCUAGAUAGAAAAUAGGUGCCCGUACCGCAAACCGACACAGGUAGUCAAGAUGAGAAUUCUAAGGUGAGCGAGCGAACUCUCGUUAAGGAACUCGGCAAAAUGACCCCGUAACUUCGGGAGAAGGGGUGCUCUUUAGGGUUAACGCCCAGAAGAGCCGCAGUGAAUAGGCCCAAGCGACUGUUUAUCAAAAACACAGGUCUCUGCUAAACCGUAAGGUGAUGUAUAGGGGCUGACGCCUGCCCGGUGCUGGAAGGUUAAGAGGAGUGGUUAGCUUCUGCGAAGCUACGAAUCGAAGCCCCAGUAAACGGCGGCCGUAACUAUAACGGUCCUAAGGUAGCGAAAUUCCUUGUCGGGUAAGUUCCGACCCGCACGAAAGGCGUAACGAUUUGGGCACUGUCUCAACGAGAGACUCGGUGAAAUCAUAGUACCUGUGAAGAUGCAGGUUACCCGCGACAGGACGGAAAGACCCCGUGGAGCUUUACUGUAGCCUGAUAUUGAAAUUCGGCACAGCUUGUACAGGAUAGG
rnacentral:rRNA from 1 species